rnacentral:lncRNA from 1 species
GUUGACUUGUUAAAAUCCAUCAAUGAAAGGCUUGUCAAACUUGAUAUAUUGGAUAUGUUACGAGAGGACAUCAAUGCAUUAUGUGCCAGUCUAGAAUUCAGCCAACGUCAGAUCGAUGAUCUAAGGAAACAGAAGACGGAGCUGAAAGGUACUGUAGACUCUAUUCAUAGCAAGGUGGAGGUGGUACAAAGGGAUGAAAGGUAAUGUAGUCUCUAUUCAUAGCAAGGUGGAGGUGGUACAAAGGGAUGAAAGGUAAUGUAGACUAUUCAUAGCAAGGUGGAGGUGGUGCAAAGGGAUGAAAGGUACUGUAGUCUCUAUUCAUAGCAAGGUGGAGGUGGUGCAAAGGGAUGAAAGGUAAUGUAGACUCUACUCAUAGCAAGGUGGAGGUGGUGCAAAGGAAUGAAAGGUACUGUAGACUCUAUUCAUAGCAAGGUGGAGGUGGUGCAAAGGGAUGAAAGGUACUGUAGUCUCUAUUCAUAGCAAGGUGGAGGUGGUGCAAAGGGAUGAAAGGUAAUGUAGACUCUAUUCAUAGCAAGGUGGAGGUGGUGCAAAGGAAUGAAAGGUACUGUAGACUCUAUUCAUAGCAAG